CCUUGUGAUGAUUAACUCUUCUUGUACAUUUCAUUACUAACACCUACUGUAAGCUAAGUAUCGUAAUGACUGUAAAAGUAGGAAGGGCUUCUUAUGCAGGGUUACUUUUGGGGAAGAGAUGAGUGUCACUUCUGGUUAUUUGUUUGUUCUGUAGAGAGGAAUACACUAUAUUGGAGGGUGUACUUUCUUUUUCUUCUCUCUCUCUCUCUCUCUCUCUCUCUCUCUCUCUCUCUCUCUCUCAAUAUAACUCUGUGUGUGUGUGUGUGUGUGUGUGUGUGUGUGUGUGUGUGUGUGUGUGUGUGUGUGUGUGUGUGUGUGUGUGUGUGUGUGUGUCUUUGUUUCAUUUACGUCAUUUACUUUUCCCUUUCCUAGUUUUAUCUGCCAGUCAUCUUAAGUGGGCGGGGCCACUAUUAUCUGUGGUCUGUUAGAGGUGUACUGAAAUACCGAGUAAAGGAUAUUUGCUGUUAUCUUGAAUAGACAGAGAUCUUAAACCAGACAGUCUAGUGUUGAGCUUGACUCAGUUCACUAUCUAGGUCAUAGGCCACCUUUAAGAAGAGCUGCGUGUAAAGAUCAGUUGUUCCCAUUAACUGUGCUUAAAAGUUAAAUAGUGAAAAAUUUCCACACUCCCCACUUUUGGUGAGGUUCUUGGCUGAAUGGAGUGGAACCUGAUGUGUUCUUCUGCUGUUGUGUCUCAACCACCUCAAGUUAUUUUAGGGUCUUGCUGGCUGCAUCGCAUCUGUGUGGCAGAGUGAGAAAGAAGCUGCUUCCGUUUUCCACGCGUCAGCAAUGUGGACUCUCCAUUUCUGGGUUUGUGAUAUCACGGAGCACAGGAAGUGACAUCACUUCCCUGUUCGCAAAGCUUGAUAAUUGCACCCAGACAACAAAUGACAGCUGAGCUGUGCUGUGCUGGAAAAUGGAUAUGACUGUGGUUAGAGGUUAGCCUCAUAACAGGCCUGUUUUAUUGGUCUCGACUCCUUUGGUUCCUACAGUACACACUCACACUCACACUCACACAUGAGCAUAAACACACAAAGCUUGUACAAAGUUGUACAGUUUUUAAUACUAUUUUAUGUACUGUAGUGUCCACAAUAGAGUCCAAUAAGUCUUUUUAUUAUUAUUAUUUUAUUUUACCUAAAACGAGUACAAUCUUUUAUUUAUGUGAUGCUAAUUUAAGAAUGUAGAACUGGGACACAUUGUAAUCUGUUUGACAAAUUGUUGUAUGUCAGUGAAAUCUAUCGAAAAAUUCUCUUUUAUUCUAGUCCAUGUCAUAUAUGUGGUCUAAAGAAAAACAGUGUUAUUGGUCAUAUUUGAGCGAGUAACAGUGCUGGUGUUGUGUCAGUUUGGCUUUACCUUGACCUUUAACCCCAUAUUAGAUACGACUUUUAUGUCUCCUUUAGAGAGAACUUUUGAAUAAACUCACUUAAUGACUAAUUUAAUGUUGUAAAAUUGCAAAACAUAACCGGAAAAAAAAAAAGUUCUUUGUAAUGAAGGCAGACUUUUGGACCCACAACACAAUGAUUUAUCAUGCAUGCUUUAACUACUCAAAAUAGUACAUAAAAUAUUACAGCGAUGGUUUUGGAGUGUACGGUAGUCAUUAGUCAGUGCUAUUUUGAUUUCAGCAAAUAUAAUGAUGGAAAAAAAAUAAAAAUAAGUAUGUUCUGGAAUGACAACGUUCUGUAAAAGUAUACACCCAUGGGUUAUAGUUAUAUUUCUAGGGUGUGUACCUUUAAAGAAAGUUGUCAAUCUGUUGUGAGUCCUGUGAUCAGCAGAACAGCUUGUGCUGUGAGGAGAUGCAUUGUGCCAAACACAUACGAAUGUGUUGGUAAAACAUGACCCGGUUGGUUCUUUUUGGUCAAACUUCUUGGUUUUUGUUGCUGGAAGUAGCCUUUGAAAUCUAACUACGUCAAACACUUAUUAUGACACGUGUUAUAGCGAUUCUGCAGUGUAAUAAAAGAGACCUUGAUGAAAUCCUGAGAAGAAAAAUAACUGCAGUGAAAAUGUAACCUAAGCUACCCAAAGUUUUACCUCACGUUUGUCUCGUACUUCUCUUAAAUGAACUGUAGCAUCUACUGUAGCUUUUGAUACCAGUACACUGUCACUACUAUUUAACACUGUCUAAUCACAAACACUCAAUCUAUCUGUGUUAGCGCUUUCUCAUAUAACUAGAACUGCAGCUAGCUAGGGUUAGCAAAAUAGUUGCUGGCAAAAUUGUGAAUGGAGACGUUUUUUUAGUUUUUAACUGUUUUUGUAGCGAAUAAAUAAAAAUCAAUAUCAAAUUCA